CAAAGUAUGAACAAAUUCUAUCAUUUUUAUUUUAGACUCCCAUACCACCUUAAAGGAUGAGAAUGGUUCUAAACAUUUGCCAUCACUUCCCUCUUUUGAUAAAUAAGUAUUCCUCAUUUUAGGCCUGGUCAGAUUGAAAGCAUUUGUCAAAUAUUUUUCAUUUAAAAUGUUAUAAAUGACUUCAUGAAGGGACACAUAAUACUACAUGAAAAAUAACCUCCUGAUUCAAUUAGAAGUUCUGUUUAACUGAUAUAAAAUGAGAUUUUUCGACAGACAGUUAGUAUUCCUAUGAGAACCGACUGUUCACACUGAAAUGUUCCUUUAUUCAUAGGAGACGGCC
rnacentral:lncRNA from 1 species